rnacentral:rRNA from 1 species
GGAGGAAACUCUGAUGCAGCAACGCCGCGUGGAGGAUGACGCAUUUCGGUGUGUAAACUCCUUUUAUAUGGAAGAUAAUGACGGUACCAUAUGAAUAAGCACCGGCUAACUCCGUGCCAGCAGCCGCGGUAAUACGGAGGGUGCAAGCGUUACUCGGAAUCACUGGGCGUAAAGCGCGCGCAGGCGGCCAUUUAAGUUGGAUGUGAAAGCCUACAGCUCAACUGUAGAACUGCAUCCAAAACUAUUUGGCUAGAGUGUGGGAGAGGAAGAUGGAAUUAGUUGU